GAUUAUGGCUCAGGAUGAACGCUGGCGGCGUGCUUAACACAUGCAAGUCGAACGGAGCUUAAGAAGGAAGCUUGCUUCAUUUAAGCUUAGUGGCGGACGGGUGAGUAACGCGUGAGCAACCUGCCCUUCAGUGGGGAAUAACACCGAGAAAUCGGUGCUAAUACCGCAUAAUGUCGGAGGACCGCAUGAUCUUCCGACCAAAGGAUUUAUUCGCUGAAGGAUGGGCUCGCGUCCGAUUAGGCAGUUGGCGGGGUAACGGCCCACCAAACCAACGAUCGGUAGCCGAACUGAGAGGUUGAUCGGCCACAUUGGGACUGAGACACGGCCCAGACUCCUACGGGAGGCAGCAGUGGGGAAUAUUGGGCAAUGGGCGAAAGCCUGACCCAGCAACGCCGCGUGAAGGAUGAAGGUCUUCGGAUUGUAAACUUCUUUGAUUGGGGAAGAAUAAAUGACCUACCCAAAGAACAAGUCACGGCUAACUACGUGCCAGCAGCAGC
rnacentral:rRNA from 1 species